AUUGAACGCUGGCGGCAGGCCUAACACAUGCAAGUCGAGCGAGCGGCGGACGGGUGAGUAAUGUCUGGGAAACUGCCUGAUGGAGGGGGAUAACUACUGGAAACGGUAUCUAAUACCGCAUACCAUCAGAUUUGCCCAGUUGGCAUUAGCUAGUAGGUGGGGUAACGGCUCACCUAGGCGACGAUCCCUAGCUGGUCUGCGAGGAUGACCAGCCACACUGGAACUGAGACACGGUCCAGACGCCUACGGGAGGCAGCAGUGGGGAAUAUUGCACAAUGGACGAAAGCCUGAUGCAGCCACGCCGCGUGAGUGAAGAAGGCCUUCGGGUUGUAAAGCACUGUCGGCGGGGAGGCGUUACCCGCAGAAGAAGCACCGGCUAACUCCGUGCCAGCAGCCGCGGUAAUAC
rnacentral:rRNA from 1 species